rnacentral:rRNA from 1 species
GUGGUAAUGCCGGAUGCUCCGGUUGGAUGCAUGUCCUUCCGGGAAAGAUUCCAUCGGUAUGGGAUGGGGUCGCGUCCUAUCAGCUUGAUGGCGGGGUAACGGCCCACCAUGGCUUCGACGGGUAGCCGGCCUGAGAGGGCGACCGGCCACAUUGGGACUGAGAUACGGCCCAGACUCCUACGGGAGGCAGCAGUGGGGAAUAUUGCACAAUGGGCGCAAGCCUGAUGCAGCGACGCCGCGUGCGGGAUGGAGGCCUUCGGGUUGUAAACCGCUUUUGAUCGGGAGCAAGCCCUUCGGGGUGAGUGUACCCUUCGAAUAAGCACCGGCUAACUACGUGCCAGCAGCCGCGGUAAUACGUAGGGUGCAAGCGUUAUCCGGAAUUAUUGGGCGUAAAGGGCUCGUAGGCGGUUCGUCGCGUCCGGUGUGAAAGCCCAUCGCUUAACGGUGGGUCUGCGCCGGGUACGGGCGGGCUGGAGUGCGGUAGGGGAGACUGGAAUUCCCGGUGUAACGGUGGAAUGUGUAGAUAUC